UUUCCGUAGGUGAACCUGCGGAAGGAUCAUUCAUAAUAAAGUGUUUUAUGGCACUUUUUAAAAAUCCAUAUCCACCUUGUGUGCAAUGUUAGAUCUCGUCAAUCUUGGCGAGAUUUUUAUACAUCAACUCAUUCUUUAACUAAUUUGUCUGAUAAAUAUUAUGAAUACUUAAUUCAAAAUACAACUUUCAACAACGGAUCUCUUGGCUCUC
rnacentral:misc_RNA from 1 species